AAUAGGCAAUAGAAAUGGCCACAAUGACUGAAAAAAGCCGGUAUGCUAAAGUAGCUUUUCUUGAACUUCCCUUCCAUAAAAGAGGCAUUAAAAAAAUAGUAAUAUGCUGUGUAAUCUGGGAAACCUCAUAGGUGAACAUUGGCAGCUUCAUGAUCCAAUUUAAACACUCCCUGAACCCACACAUCCCAUUGCCAAAAACUUCUUAUGCUUUAAACGUUUGUACAUCACAUAAUAAUUUGUAUUCAGUUGCAUCUUCUGUUUGUGCUUCUUGAACGGGCGUAAGCUUGUCUGGUUUUUUAAUCAGGAAAUGGGAGAAAGUGGCAGCCUCAAGCUGUCAUUGUGCACAGAAAACAUUGAGACGUACCUAUUAAUCCUGCAGAAGCAGCAUGUUAAAUUCCCACUGUUCGUAAUCUCCCGUUGGAACCGAUAUUGGCUAAUGACUUUAAUGGUAUUGCACUUGGCAAAAAUUAAACACAUCUUUCAUCCUUUCCUAAAGCUAUUUCUGUUUCAAAGCAUUGUAGAUAAGGAGGCAAAGUGGACAAAGAAUUAUUAUAUGUUGUAUUUAAGAGAAUAGUGUAAAAAUGAGUGAGUUAUGCUGGCAAAUCUGAUGGCAUUUGUCCAGUGUUUCUCAACUGGCAAAGAGACAUUCACUCAGUUCUGACAACCUAAUGAUUUUGAUGACACUCUGAUAGUUUCUUGAGCGUAGGUACAAUAAGUGGUGUUGAAAAGCUGUUGUUCUCAUACUGUGACAGUGAAAAUUUGCUGGAUUUUAAGGCCAGUGCAACUCUGCCAAUGAAUGAAGUCUUAUAUCUUUAGAGGCAGAAGCAAUUCUGUUUCCUUCCCAGGAUAAUGACUACUUUACAUGGAGCUGAGGAUAACAGGCAGUGUGCAAUCAGAGUGCUUGCUUUACAGAAAUGAUUGAGCUACUGGCCUUCGGUAUCAUUGAAGUUGCUUCUUCUUUUUGACAAUCCUCCAAGCCCAAAGCAAAGGUAUCAUUUAGGAAAGCUAGGAAUGUGCAAUCUGUAAUAUCUAAGUUAGGUAGGUCUUUUUUUCUCAAGGGCAAAUCGGUUGAAUGCCGUUUUGUAAGUAGGGGGUUGGUUUAAUUGUCUGUGUCUCUAUUCGAUGCAAUAAACAGUUCAUUCUUCCUAUGGGUAAGUGGGUGACAUCUCACAGAGAGCCAGAAAUAGAAACAGCUAUUGAGGAUGUGCAUGGGUGAGAAACCUCUGCUCUGUGAAGUGGCUGCUCCUGAUGAGGCAGGGGAGUACUUAGAUUCCCCAGCUGCCCAGUUUAGACUCACUGUCUUCCUGCAUACACUGUACCGAAAUUUAUACUGUCAGAGGUGCUCUGAAAUGUCACUGGAAGUUAGGUUUUGUAUCUUGCUAACUUCUCAGUGUUUUCUAGUGACAAUACAGAAGAACAUGAAUGUGAUGAUCUUACUCAAGCCACAAGCAAACACAAGAUACCAUCUAUUCUAAAAGGAAAGAAUUUUAUUUGCUCUUAUGCUUUAAGAAUAUGCAGAUAUAAUAAAUACUACUAUUUAUCCUUUAAAAAGUUAUGUUCUGGGAAAUCUCCUUCCAUCAGUGGCCUGUUUGCAUGCAAAGAGAGAACAGAAUGUAUUCUAAGUACCAAUUAAAACAGUGUACAGAGUUUAAAAUGGCAAGAGUAGAUUCAAAGGGGUGUUACGAAUUACAUGUAGAAACUUGUUCAGGUCCAGGCAAGUAUAACUUCACUCCCACAGCUGGCAUCAUUCAGGAAGUCAGGUCAUAGGUAGAACGAACUAAGUAGGAUGAUUUCCAGUUUCAGCUACAGUUCAAGAUUAUUUUACUAUUGGGUUUUUUUCCUUUUUGCCUUUUUUCUUUAUUUUCAAAAUAUCGUAGAUUCCCAACCUUGCUUUUAACAAUAGAAAAUGUAGUUCUGUAUUUCGUUGUGCUUGGCUCAGACUUACUGAUGUUCUUUCUCAUUUGGGAGUGAAGAAGGAGAACAGUGCUAUGAUUUAAUGUGUUCACAGAUUCAGGAACCAAGUUGUGAAAAACUGAGUUGUAAGAAAUCAACAGCUGGGCUGAGGCAUCAUCUAAACAAUGACAGGUGAGUCACAGUGAGUUGAAAUGUCACAACCAGUUUAUGUACAGUGUACAUCUAAAACCAGUGGUAGGUACAUGGUUGAGGAGCUGUACCUCCAUUACCAGUGGUCUGUAGCUAUGGGUGAAGGUAAUACGCUUGGCUGCUAUUUUUCAUGCUUCAGAGUUGUCCCUUUCCAUUUCGCCUUGCUGAAGAUCUGGAGGGUAUCUUGUAAAGUCUGAAAAUAAUGACAAGUUUGAGCAGCCAUCAGCUGAUUUGAUCCUCUCAGGGAAGUACUUUCUUGGCCUCUUAAAAGGCCAGAUAUCUCCAUACAGUCUCAGUUAUUGUUCUGUUUGUGAGUGGAUCUAGCUAGAUGAAAGCAGCCAGUCCCCAAAUGCUUAUAAGCACUUUUUCCCUUGUGGUACAUGCUUUCUGCUUGGCUAAAGGCUCGCUUGUGGCCAGUCCAGCUUCAUCCUGAGCCUCCUGAAAGCCCCAGUUUCAUGCCAGAAGUCACAGCAUUCUCUGAGGAAAGAAGUAAGCAGUUGUGACCCUAAAGUAGUACCCCAUGAUGAAUUUUUGUUUCUAAUAAUGAGUACCUCAAAGCUCAGUUCUAACUCUGAACUUGACAGAUGAUACAAAACCCAUUUUUUAAAGGUCUCUCAUCGUCUGAACGCUGGAAUGUUCAAGACCAAAGUUUUACAGCUUUUAGCCCUUAGCUAGUAAUGAGUUUUACACCUUAAUAAAAGCUCCAGCAAAGUAAGAUCUAUCUGCAGUUUCUUUAAAGUCACUGAAGAGUCACUGAUUUCAUUCAGGCAUUGUCAGCAGUACAAAAGCAGCUUCUCAACAGUCUUCUAUAAAUGAACUGUUACCUUAAGAAACAGCUUCCCAUUACUUGUUCUCAUAUAGUUACUUUUUCUAUCCAAAUCACAUAGUCUAACUUCAGUUGAAAUAUUGUUCACUCCGUUACAAAAAGCUUUCAAUACCAUUGCCAUUGCCUAGACAGAAAUUAGCAGGAGGGAGGUUUCACAGAACCUCCCUGAAAAUGCGUGAUCUUUGCAGAAUGGACUGCUUAUAAAAAGCCUUCCAAAUCCUCCUCUUGUUCAUACCACAGAGGCCAGGUCUGUGAAUGAUCUGCCAAUAAAUAAAAACGAUGUGCCAAUCACACUUGUUUUUCUCCACCUUCUUAGAGAGGUAUUUCAGUGUUCAGUGCAUAGCCGAACUCUCUGAAAAGCAUUCUAGAUGAUCACUCAUUGUGUCAAAUUAUGCUGUAUUAGGUGGCUGAUAGGCUGAUAGGUGGCUAUUUGCUGGUGUGCAGCUGUAAUUCGAGUUACAUAUGUGGGUUUAUUAGUCAUGGCUUCAGACAAUGGAAAUGAGGGAAAUAUUCCAUUUUAACAGCCAAAGCAGUAUGAAAGUAAUGGUUAAGAAGUGCCAUUUGGGGACAGGGCCACUCGCGGCACUGCUGCAGGGCUGGGGAGGAGAGGACAUGCUGUGGUGCUGUCCCACGGGCAAGGUGCAUUAUAUGAGAUCCUGCCUUCUGCUGGCUACGCUUCUCAAGCACAUCUGCAGGCUCACGCUGGCACCAAGCUCUUAUAUGACUGAUGGGACAAAGAACUUCAGGACCGUUUUGAGAAAGCGGUGGUGACAAUCAGAACAUUCAGGAGAUUUUAAUUCUUUUAAGAGGGGAGGAACAGGUAAAGGUUAAAUCUUAAAAUACUUAAGCCUAGUUCAAAUGUGUGACUGUAAUCACAGUAUCCGGAAACCUGUUUUUAUGAAGAAAAUGAAACAUGGUCAUUGCAAUGUAAAAAUGCUUCUUUCAAAAAAGUCAGUAGCCUGUAAAUGGAGGAGAAGUCAGCCCCACAAACAACAAAUCAAAUAGAAUGUUUUUUAUUCUGCCAGCUGUUGAUGUCCUGAAAUAACAAAGAAAAAUGCUGUAAACACUGCUGUAUUGGAACACUGAAUCACUGAAUCUAACUUUCCUUUUAAUUGGACUGUCUGGAGGAUGAGCCUCUGCAGUGUCUGGAAGUACCCAUGAAAACUCAAAAGGAGGAAAAGGGAAUAUAUUAAAGCAGCUAAUUUGUAGCAUGGUGCCAGUCUGCCCUUUCCAUUCUCCCUAUCAACAGAAAUCAUAACAAGCUAAUUCCUCACUGUAAAACGUUCUUUGUUAUUUGUACCUCUGAAGCUAAUGGCAUGCUGCACAGAGUGAAAAACAGGGAGAGGGACUGGUACUAUCAGAGAAAAUAAUCAUCUCAUUCCCUUCGAGCAGCAUUGAAAGUUAUUCUGCAGAAAUGGUCACCCUCACAGAAGGGAGAGGAAAACCUCUCUGCUGCCACAUAAAAAGCAGAGGAAUUUGCCUUUUCUAUUGAAUAUUAUAAAUUAUAUUGCUUAGAGUUUUAGUAACAAAAUUUGAUGAGAAAGAGGAAAUCUAAAUCUCGGAAUCUCGUGUUAUCUUUAUUGGUCUAUCUUUGUAGCAUAAAUGCAGCAGCUUUAUUGAGGAAGGACCCCUGAGCACUGGAGUUGAUGCUCAUACCUGCAGACUCAGGGCAUUCACUGCUGCCUAAGGACUGCAGAGUUCCUGUGAGUGCUUCCCCUGGUUCCUGGUUGAGCUGUUGGCUGCAUUGUUGACUUGCAGUGAGAGGUGUUCAGCGAUCUGUGUCCUUCAGCCUACCUCCUGCAACCCCGCUGAUGAAGAAGGACUGUUAAAGGUGUGUGAAGUCAGUGUGUCUUUGCAGGAGCGCUGCUCCUGGCUGGCAGGUUUGUGUUGUGAGGCCGCAGGCAACAACAAGGAUGCAGAAAUUGUAACUAAAUGCAUAAAAGAAGGGACAUUUGGAGGUGUUUUGUUGCUCCUGUGUUGGCUGCUACCAAAGGUAGGGGUAUUUCAAGCCUUUAGGUAAAUGUAAAAAAAAAAAAAACCCCAAACAAAAACCAGGCAACAACGCAAUCCUUUUACAGCCAAACUAUAACCUGAAUCCGAGCAGCACACGGCGCUGCCAUCCCCAAAUACUGCUGGUCAGAGAGAUUUGCAGGAAGUGCCUUAAAGAUUGUGUUACAGCUUCUGUUCUAGUUUAUAUUCAUUACAACUUUUAUCUUUGCACAGUAUAGCUUAGCAUUGUGAAUGUUAUUAGCUGCUGGCUUUGAUUGUCAGGAUUUGUACAAAAAUGUUGCUGUUUGACUAAUUGAAGUCCGGCCAAGUGCACAACGUCAGGCAUUGGGCUCUUCUGCUAAUUGCACUGAGCUUUCUAUCUGUUAAUUUAUUUGGAUAAAUAUUAUCAAAAGGCUUUGAUAAUUAAAAGCUAUUCAUGGAAUGUGCUUAUCACCUGUCACCAUCCUCUUAGACUGUGGUUGUAAUAUAUGGUUGAAGACUGCUACUCCAGCUCUGAGCUCUGUCUAUUUGUUGUCCUGUGCAAUGAGGCUAAAAUCUCCUGGAGACCACACUGCAAUGCAGGUAGUAAUCCUGCAUUGAGAUGUCUGCUGAGAUGUCUGCACCCCGUUCUGUGAGCAUGAUGUUCUCCAUACGCAAGUGUCUGAUAAGAAAUGCACUUCCAGUAGUGUAGAGCUACUAGGAAAUACCAGUGCCAGAGGUGCUGUAGGAGACUUUUCUAACUUUUUAAACUGCAUUUUUCCCCUUUUCUAGAACUUAGAGCUUACUUGAUUUUCAUCUGCAUCAUAGCAUUAAAAUUGGCUUUUGGGUUAAUUUAAAAUAGAUUAAAUUCUUGAAUAGUGGAAUCUUAACAGUGCUAUGCUAGAUUAUGUGCAUUUAAUUUUCUUUGGGUUUGCGUCCUAAAUGCCUUCACAUAGAGAAGGCAAUAGUUUGCACUUGUGUGCAAGAAAAUGAGCUCGGUGAUGAUGUAUGAAGAAACUUUCCUUGCCUGGUUCCUUCUGAUGUGUGUGCUUUUUCUCAUUUCCAGCAGCAAGAGCACUGAAAACUUCCUUAACUGAUGGCUUCAUUCAGGACAUCUCAGAGAUCUUCCCGGAGUACUCCAGGGAGAUCAGUUUAUCAGGUCCAAAGCAAAGCUUUGUUUUUCCCUCUCCUCCUUGACAAAAAGCCAUCACUAGGUUCCAGUGUUCAGAGCAGCACUACAGUCUGAAUGUGUACGAGACCCCAUUGUACUGCCGCAUUCCUGUCAGCUUUCCUGUGAGUGACAAACUGCUGCUGCCUUCAUCUCUAUACGUGUGUAAUAUUAACAGCAGAUUUGUUGACCCUUGCAUUUGCUUUAAAUGUGUCUCAGUAGAGUUGAAGCAGCACACACAGUUUUUGCAGGGGAAAUAAUAGGCAGGUGACUUAAUGGAGAAAUCCACCCACUCCUUUGACUACCCUGUACAAAUGUUUCUAUAGCUGCUGGUAAAUUCAUACAAGCUAAUGAACUGAGAGCAGCUUCCCAGGAUGGGAGAGACCAAUCCUGAAAUCUUCAGCUUGGCUGCCCACAGGGCAGCGUGUCUGAAUGAGUGGUGGGGACUGCAAAGACAGAGCUGUCAGUGUACAGCCGUGCUUGCCGGCUCCGUGUCACCCUUCCCACCCUCCUCUGCCCCGUCCUCACUUGCCCACAACACUGUGCACUCCCCAGAGAAGCAGUUUUGAUUGUGGUCAAAGUGUAGUGAAAUCCUUGCCUCAAAUCAUUGCAGACAUCUCGGUGAUCCUUGCCCUACGUGAAAAGCCAGCAGUUCACCUUAUCCGCACCGCCCCAUACAACUCUGGUCUAUUCUCCAUGUUGUGUCCUCCACUGCUGCAGAAGGAGCUUUCUUAUGCACAGGAAUUUUCAUCGCAUUUAUUUUCCUUGUGUCCUUUUCACAUACCCACAUUAUUUUGUAUGCAGCAUGGAAAAACAAAGAGAUUCCUUUAAAUAUGUGUAUUAUUUCCUCUGCUAAACCUCGAUUAGCUUUUUCUGAUGGUUAUUAUUAAAAAUCAUACUAAUUUACACUGCUAAUGACGGGUUUACUGGCAUUCAUGCGACUCUUAUUGUCAGUAUAGUUUAAAAACUACUGUAUGUGUGUUAUUUCAGAAGCCAGCCCUACCAAGUUCUGUUUGCAACCAGUGGGUGCCAUUCUGUUGCUUUCAUUGGCAUUUCAGCUAUUCUUUAGCAGCUGGUUAAACCUGUGUGCUGUUGGUGAUGGUUUUGUUCCACAGAACAGGGGGAGGAAUCGGGAAAUCUGAAUUAAGUUGAGAGUUUCCACCUCAAUAGACUUCCUAUUGAGCAUAUUGCUUCCUAUUGUUUCCUUGAGCAAAGCAAUAUCUUUGCCCAGUCCCUGUUUGCAAAUAGGCGCAUAGGCAGGUAGGGACUCCUGUCCCAUGGCCUCAGCUGAAAGGACUGUGGUGGGUUGACCCUAGCCAGCAGCUAAGCCCUCACCAGCCCCCCUUUUCUGUUCUUUAUUUUUGUUUGGUUUUGUUUGUGUGUGGGGAUUUGUGGGUUUGGGUUUGUUGGGUUUUUUUGCAUUCACAAAGGUACAUUGAUCAAUUCUUCACUAUUGAAGUCUUUCUGUUUAAGAUGCAUUACCAAUGGGGCAGGAUGCAGAGUGCAUCCUUUUUGUUGCUGGCUGUUAAACAAUGUGUCAUGUUUCCACUUUGAAAUCCCAGAUAAUUAGCUAAAUGUACCCAAGGAAACCCUACUUUACACAAGGUUGCUAAAUAACUGUUACAUUCGUUUAAAAUUAGCUAGAUUGGAGUAUUUUCUGUUCUGCCUUUGCUGAUGCCCUCUGGAAAUGGUGGGGAUCUGGCUGUUUGCUGAAGACAAGGACCUCUGAGACAGGUAAAACAUGACUUUUAUGCUGCUGGGGCAUGUCCUCUCACCUCAACACAACUGGUGGUAUCUGCACGGGAGGAAAGGGAGCUCAGGAUGGAAUAUGGGAAGUUUUUGAUCAUAUAAUUGACUUCUCUCCUCGUGUGCUGAAACACCUGUAAAAGUGUCUUACUUUCUGCUAAAAAUAAGAGAAGCAGCCUCUAACAUCCAAUUAUCUUGGACUGAGAGAAACAGUUGUGUAAGGUUUUAAGGCAGCCUUCAAACAGGCAUCUGAAGCUAUGUCCAGAUUGCAAGCGUAGGCAGAUGUAGGGUAGAAGAGAAUGUGAUUAGCAGGCAUUGACUUGAGGGGUGCAUGGAGUAAUAAAAGAGGUGUUAGAAGAU